rnacentral:lncRNA from 1 species
UUGAAUUUUAUUUUUUUUUUAACAGAUUUUAUCUCCUGCUGAAAUGGCAGCUGAACAGUGGAAUAACUGAAAUACUGGCAAAAGACUAGUGUUUGGGUCUGUUGUGCUGUGACAGGGAAAAGCAGCUCUCUGUGGCCUCCAUGGCUGAUCGGUAGCUAAAGUGAAAGAGCAGAGCAACACUUACUUCAAUAAGCAAGUAUUCAAUCAUAAUGCUCUCUAGUUUUUGAAAGUCAACCAGUGACUGCUCGUGGAGGUUGGAAGGGACCUUGGAGGGAGUCCGGUCCAACCCCCUGCUCGGAGCGGGGCUAAGGGACAGCGCGUUGCUCGGAGGGGCUGCCGGGACCCAGGGUGACCCAGGGGUGCACGAGCAGGCUCGCCUGUGCAGCUUAUUUCAAGAUCUUUGUGGGGGGAGGGAAAGGAGAACAUCGUCUACACGUUUGGA